GUCGGGGGAGCCCCACCUUAAGAGGGACGUGAUUGGCUGUACCUACAGAUCCAGUUUAUAGAUGAUUAAAUCAUCAAUCAGGGCUGCGGGAGCGCGCGUUCGUGCGAUCGCUCGAGCCCAUGUUUCCGUUAAAAGCCAAUCAGAUCGGAGCGGAGCGCGCGCACAGCCGGGGAAAGGCUUUGUAGCACGUGGAAUUAGGAAAGAGAGACACAGCGCGUGAGGAGUCAUCCAGACAUGUGAUUUUGCACGGUGAUCUUGUGCUCCAUGUGCGCGCACUGCCGCUGCUGCCACGCUGACGCCGCGCGUGCUCUCGUGCACCACUUAUCGGUGCAUUCAUCCUGAAUGCGCCGUCACCCCUCGCGCUGCUUCGCUCUGAAUAUUACAUACAGCGUGAAAUCGGCUCCGAGUCCGCGGCCAACCUGUGCAGCAACCUCCGGGUUAAUGCAUCAGCUAAUUUCAUUGGGAAAACAGGACGCCCCCUCAUCUCUCUGAGCUGUGAGCGGUGAGAAAGUUCCAGAAGAUCUCACAUCUGCAGCGGGGAUGGAGCUGAGCACACAGGUGGUAGGGAGAGAGAGAGAGAGAGUUAUUUCCUGUCUGUGAGAACAUCCUUUGAGUGGUUUCUCUCCUCUUUCUGUCAUACACCCCCAUAGAACACACCCUCUCUCUCUCUCUCUCUCUCUCUCUCUCUCUCUCUCUCUCUCUCUCUCUCUCUCUCUUUCUCUCUCUCCCUCUCUUAUAUACACACACAGACAAACACACACACAUAGUUCAUAGUCUGACUCAUCUGAACUCCUCCUUCCAGGUGUUUAUGACUCUCACAUUAUUGUUAUCAGACGUUUAAAUCUGAACUGAAAUCAGUGCUGAUCUGCUGCUCAAUACGGCAUGAAGAUAAAUUUCCUGCACGCCUUCAAAACGUGUCAUUUUAACUAACUUAAUGUGAAUAUAGUACAUACAGCAGCUUCAGACCCCAACACCAUUAUUAUUAUUAUUAUUAUUAUUAUUAUUAGUAGUAGUAGUAGUAGUAGUAGUAGUAGUAGUAGUAGUAGUAGUAGUAGUAAAAGGUCUGCAAAAAUAAAUAAUUAUUAAUGUGUUUUUUAAGUUUCUGAUGUGUUUGAUGUAAAAGAGUAUAGAAAGUCAAAAUGGAACAAAACCGACGAGAGAAUAAAGAAAAAAAUAAUUAAAAAGAAUUAAAAGUCUUUCAUAAUAAUAAUAAUAAUAAUAAUAAUAAUAAUAAUAAAAAAUCCAAGUCAAGUUUGGUGUUAAUUAUAAAAGAAAGGAAAUAAAAAUUCAGAAAGAUGUUUGGUAUUAAUGUUUAAAUAUACAAAUAAAAAUGAGCAAAAUAAAAUUACAAAAAAAUAAAUAAAUAAGUAAAUAAAUCUGACUACCGUCAAAAAAAAAGUCCCCCAAACAUAUUUGUGAUUCAAAAAUAAAUAAAUAAAUAAAUAAACGUUUCUAAUAUAUAAACAUGACUUGUUUUAAUUAAUUAACUGUAAAUGAGCAAAAUGUAGACCCAAAUAUGGUAAAAUGGGGGAAGGGGGGAAGGAGGGGGAUAAGUACCCAAAACAAUAAUUGUAGUUAAACAAAAAUAUUAGGUGAAAAAAAAAUAUUUUUUUUUUAUUAUUAUUAUUAUUAUUAUUAUUAUUAUUAUUAUUAUUAUUUUAAUUUGAGUUUUUAGUUUUUAAGUUUAGAUUUUAGUUUUCUUUUAAUUAAUGGAAUACAUGGAAAAUUAGUCUUGUAAACAAAGAAUAAUACAUCAAACCCAAAGCAUGUUUGCUGUUAAAGUUUUUCAGAUUGUGUGUGUGUGUGUGUAUGUGUGUGUGUGUGUGUGUGAAAUGUAAAUAUCUAAGCAAUAAUUAUGUAAAUCAGUGUAGUAUUGUGUGUUAAACCCACAGAUAGUAAAAGCAGUAAGGACUAAUCCCAUGGGAUGAGUUGAACGCUUUCAGAUUCCCUUCGUUUUUUUGUUUCCUCACAGCGUGGGCAGCUAAUGUGAGGUAUCAUUACAUAGCGGCUGGUCCACAACAUCACGAGGACUAUAAGUGCCAAUUCCAUCUGCAUAAUUAUCACCUGUGCGUGCGCAUUUACAUCACCGGGUACAAGCCAGAACGCAGCCGGGCCUCGUUCACGGCUCCAAGACGCCCGGCGUCGCGUGUGUAGUAACGCCUGAUACAUUAAAGAAUCACUGAUGUCAUAAAUGACACACUGGAUCAUUGUAAUGAGGAGAUCCAUGAGGAGGUUUCUGGGUGACCGUGUGUGUGUGUGUGUGUGUGUGUGUGUGUACUGAGUCUCAGCACGGAAUGUGCUAUUCUCACCACAACCAAGUCUGUCAUAUUUAGCUUGCCAGGAUUUGUGCACUCACCCACACACACACACACAAACACACAGCAAAUGGAAAACAAAAAAAAAGUGACGCACAAUUACAGAACGCGGCACACGUGUGAUCUCGAAGAGUGUGUGCAUUCUGAAGGCUCUCUCAAAAACGUUUUACGCUCCACAUACUCAGCUUCUGCCACGCCCAAGAAAUGUAAACCACGCCAGACGUUGGUCGGUUUACAGCGAGCUGAGAGAGAGAGUGAGUCGCUACAUUCAGUACACACACACACACACACACACACAAACAUACAACUCUAGCUAUUGUAUCAGGUCGCUAAUGGAGGAAGGACUGACUUGUUAUUGGAAGGAAGCGACAGUACUUUCUCUCUCUCUCUCUUUUUUCUCCUUAAAGAGGUCAAGUCUCCAGCGAUGCAAAAGAACCACAAGGUUUUUUUUUGUUUGCUUCUUAAUAUUUUGAUGUUCCAGGUCUCUGAAGCAAAUCCACAAAAGCACAAAACACACCCAAUUAAUUCUGACAGAUUCUCUCUCUCUCUCUCUCUCUCUCUCUCUCUCUCUCUCUCUCUCUCUGUGCAUAUCGCUCUUUCUGUGUGUGUUUGUGUGUGUGUGUGUGCACGUGCGCCCACGAUCACAAAAAGGUAAGCUCUGGAAAAAAAAUGAAGAUGACUUAUCGCAUUUUGAAAUUAAUUUCGAUGAAUAAUUAAUCAAGCACUGGAAUAAUUGUUGUCUCUCUAAUCUUCACACACACAUACACACACACAUACACACACACACACAUACACACACACACACACACACACAUGAAAAUUAAUUCAUUUAUUAUUUUUGUCAUUUAUUUUAUUUUUUUCAUUUAUUUUAAUAUUUUACUUUUUAGAUGGAAAAAAAGAAAAGUAAUUUUAAAAAAUGACAAAAAAACCUGC